AUUUGUGCCUUUAUCAAGAGAAAAGCCAACAGUGCUGAUGUCAUCAAUGACCAGAAACAAAAUGCAAAUGUGGUGGAGCCACACCAAUAAUGACAAAAAUAAAUUCUGAAAGAUUCUAAAAGCUGGCAUUAAUGUGGCGAUUCACAAUGAAGAGUCUACUAUAUACAUGGGCUGAUUGGUGUGGUGAGUGGAGACUCCAUCCAUCCAUCCCACGUUAGAAAGGCUUUAGUAUGCCUGUGCUUUCCGAGCUUGAGGGUUCAUUUUGGCCUUGGAAGUAGCAGUUUGAAAAUAAAUUCCUAUCACAGAAUGGAGUGUGUUCAGUUGUCAUGGAGAUGGUCGAGUUGUUGUCAUAUGUUCGUGUAUGGGGGGGGUUGUAAUCCAUGACUAGCUUCCUUCAUCUUUCUCUGGCCGUCCACUGAUUUCCUGGUGUUUGUUGGGGUAUCUUAUAGUAUCCUCCGAAAGGGGGCUAAAUUGAGGGUGGAAUGGCUGCAUUUUUGUACCUUUCUCAGACUAUAAGACUUGCUCGCUGGCAAUGAGUCCUGCAACAUGGGGGUAAGAAGAUGAAAAGCUCUGGGCUGUUUGGUAUUCCUGCAGAGGAAUGAAGAAUUUAAGUAAAUAAAUCAAAAUAAAAUAAAAUGAAAUCCACCAAGAAGAAUCCCUGCAGACCUCUUUGGACAGGUGUUUUCCUCCAGUAAAUUUAUGGGAUGUGGGAUGUGUGUGGAGAGUUGCAAAUGUGUGUGACGAUCUGCCUGUGACUUCAGGUUUUCUUCGCCAUGAGCAGAGGCUCACAGGCUCACACUGCCAGGCUGACCCUUUUUACUAAAGAACUUCCGCUGCCACUGGGGAGAAACCAAAACAACAACGGCAUUCUGACAGCAUAGCUUAUAUGGACCAUAUACGGUGAAAAGAUGCGUUUCCACAUCACCUACAGUGAUCAGUCACAUUGAGCUGGGAUCAGUCCAAUACUGUACCCUUCAUCACAGAACAGAGAACUAUGGCUGACCUCACAUGACUCGGACCAAAUACAUCACCACAGAGGACUGUGUGGGAUUACUCAUCUUUGCAGAUCCAUCAGUUCAUCAUUCCAUCAACCUCUUCCGCCAUCGGCCUGAGCAGAGUCAUCAGCCACCAGCACCACCAGUGUCUGGACUGUCUGGGAUUUAUUCUGCCGCUGCUCAGGGCAGACGCCCUCCACCACCAAAAUCUCCCCGAAGAGUCUAAGUGCCAAAGACUCACUUAACA